rnacentral:misc_RNA from 1 species
AGCAGAACAGUGAGAGAACCUAGAGUUGUAGUUCAAACCACAAGUGACAUUGACAUUCUUGAUGAUGGAUAUAGAUGGAGGAAAUAUGGGCAGAAAGUGGUUAAGGGGAAUCCAAAUCCUAGGAGCUACUAUAAGUGUACAAAUCCAGGAUGUCCUGUACGAAAGCAUGUUGAGAGAGCAUCUCAUGAUCUUAGGGCAGUGAUCACAACCUAUGAGGGAAAGCACAACCAUGAUGUUCCUGCGGCUCGCGGCAGCGGCAGCAGCAACAACUCUGUGAAUAGGGCAUUGCAUGAGAACAACAAUGCAGCAAUGGCAAUACCGCUACCUAUUGUGAACCACCAUUCUAACAACUUGACAAACGCAAUUCGCCAUCAAAGGUUACCAGCAACAUCUGAAGGGGAAGCACCCUUUUCACUAGAGAUGUUUCAGAAUCCAGAGAGUUUUGCAUUCUCAGGAUUUGGUAAUCCUAUGGGGUCAUACACAAAUCAAUCAUCAACAGACAAUGUUUUUUCCAGAGCCAAAGAAGAACCAAGAGAUGACAUGUUCCUGGAAUCAUUGCUAUGCUGAAA